GAGAGUAUGGUACAGUGGUAGAACAUGUGAAUACAGAUCAAGAAGUUGCAAGUUCAAAUCUUGAUGCUCCCC